GACGAACGCUGGCGGCGUGCUUAACACAUGCAAGUCGAACGGAGCGAAUGAAAGCUUGCUUUUAUAAGCUUAGUGGCAAACGGGUGAGUAACACGUAGGCAACCUGCCGACAGGAUGGGGACAACAUUCCGAAAGGAAUGCUAAUACCGAAUGAAGCGCAGGAGAGGCAUCUCUCCUGCGUGAAAGAUGGCCUCUAUAUAUAAGCUAUCACCUGUCGAUGGGCCUGCGUCUGAUUAGCUGGUAGGUGAGGUAACGGCUCACCUAGGCGACGAUCAGUAGCCGGUCUGAGAGGAUGAACGGCCACAUUGGGACUGAGACACGGCCCAGACUCCUACGGGAGGCAGCAGUGGGGAAUCUUCCGCAAUGGGCGCAAGCCUGACGGAGCAACGCCGCGUGAGUGAAGAAGGUCUUCGGAUCGUAAAGCUCUGUUGAUGGGGACGAACGUGCCUAAUGCGAAUAGUAUUAGUAAUG
rnacentral:rRNA from 1 species